CAAGGCCCACUUUGAUUAGGGCAUAAACUAUGGAAACCCUAGUACUAUAUAUACCAAACAAGAGCCUUUCUUUUCGUCCUCGCACUUGCUGGUUUCAUCUGGAGAGUUCUGAGAACAGAGGAAUCAAACAAGGCUCUGAGUCGCGAUGAGGGCUAAGUGGAAGAAGAAGCGCAUGAGGAGGUUGAAGAGGAAGCGCCGAAAGAUGAGACAAAGAUCCAAGUAGACAAUGCAUUUCGACAAGAAGACGGCUUCUCCUGAUAUGCUUUCAUCUUCUUCAUCGCUUGCUCGUGGGAGUUGGAGAGGAUUUUGAAGGGGGAGCUUGCAUUGUCUAUUUCAGUUCUUACUUCUAGUUUCAGGAUUUGUGGCACCUUUAAGAAGUUUAGGGUUAAUUUGUUUUUGAGUUUACUUCUGUUUUGUUUUGAUAUCUCUUAUCUGCAACUGAAUGACUUAUGGAAACUUUUUGUUAGAAAUAUUACCUACCUUAAAUCAAGUGGAUUGUUAUGGUCCUUGUGGUGGUUAA